CCUACGGGUGGCAGCAGUGGGGAAUAUUGCACAAUGGGGGGAACCCUGAUGCAGCAAUGCCGCGUGGGUGAAGAAGCACUCCGGUGCGUAAAGCCCUGUCAGCAGGGAAGAAAAUGACAGUACCUGACCAAGAAGCCCCGGCUAACUACGUGCCAGCAGCCGCGGUAAUACGUAGGGGGCAAGCGUUAUCCGGAUUUACUGGGUGUAAAGGGAGCGCAGGCGGUAUGGCAAGUCAGAUGUGAAAACCCAGGGCCCAACCCUGGGACUGCAUUUGAAACUGGUUUUCUUGAGUGAGUGAGAAGUAUGCGGAAUGCGUGGUGUAGCGGUGAAAUGCAUAGAUAUCACGCAGAACUCCGAUUGCGAAGGCAGCAUACCGGCGCUCAACUGACGCUCAUGCACGAAAGUGUGGGUAUCGAACAGGAUUAGAUACCCCUGUAGUC
rnacentral:rRNA from 1 species